rnacentral:lncRNA from 1 species
CACCUUCUUUUCUCAAAAGAAAUCAAGCCGCAAGUUAAUGAAACGCGACAAGGUCAACAACAAUUCUAAACAACCUGGUAUGCACCCCCAUCUUCCCCAACGCGUAAACAACGCCCAACAACAAUCACAAAGAAUGAUUCCAAUCUUGAACAUGUGAAAUUGUCCUCGCACUUUUGUAUGGAUCCAUGUAGCCUUCAAGGACGAUCGAUCUAUCAAACUUCUUCUAGAAUGGAGCUAAACUUUCAGAAAAGGUUGUUUCUCUCAAAUGGUGAAUGACUUUUGAGAUUUGAUUUUAGGGUGGGACUCGUUCUUAUCGAUUUUUUUCCUUUUACCCCAAUUCCGAACCCUAAUAUCUUCCCAUAUUUACCUCCUCUUUUCACUUUAAGCAGGGGGAUUUCUUUGGGAGAAAACAAUUUUUUUGUGAUAGAGACAUAGAGAGUUGAAAAUAGCAAAAAUGAGGGGGAUGUUUGGAUGAUUUUUUUGUAAAAAAAGAGUUUCAAUUAGAUGAGACAUUAGAGAAAGAUUUGGAUAUUAUCUCAGUGUUUAGAGGAAACUGUACGUUUGAAAAGUUCUCGAAGAUAUUUGGUUCACUCUUAGCAUUUGUCCGCUUUGUUUUGUCCUUCCAAGUUUGUUGGGAUUCGUCGUUUCGGUGCACAAGUCGUUAAUAGCUCGUUGCUUUUAGUUAGAUGCCAGAAAAGGUAAUAUAUACUCCUUAAUUACUUUUUAGUUCAGUGUACAAUAGUAUGUAAUGAGGUUGUCUCUGUUGUGUCUUUCUCGACUUCAUUCUCCCUUGAGACGGAUAUGAAGGGUCAUGGCUUGCUACCAUUUUUUUUUCUUGGAGUUCUUGGUUGAUCAUUCUAUUUUCUACAUCUUGCCUAAACUAUUUGUUCAAAUCUAUACUUAAGCCUUAAGCUCGGCUGUCAUGUUUGUGGUGAAUCGCUUGUUGGUCGAGUUUUGAUAUUUGUGCUCAAUAGGUCUCAAACAAUGAAUAUUAUUUAUCUGGUUUGUUACUGAUAUACCAUUUAGCUCUCAUUAUAACUUGAAUUUUUAUGCAUUUUGGAAACUCGGUUUCAACUUAUGACAACGUUGUUUAUUACUAAUCAUAAUCCAGUUUCUAAUAUGGUUUGUGUCUCAUAAGCAAGCUGUUUGUAAUUUUUUUUUUUGUUGUAUGUUCUCCUUUGCUUUAGUUUUAAGUUUAGAUUCUAUGGACCAUACUACUAGCUUCAAGUUUAGUUUUGUUGAUUUGUUUAUCAAAUGUCACCAUGAUGGUGAUUAGAUAAAGAUCUUGCAAAUUUAUUGUGACAUUCACCAAUUUUCUUUCUGAGGUACCGUUUUAGUGUGACUGUCACAAUAGUUUGUUAUCGAUUGUUUUUAUUUUGGUCAUUCUUAGAUUUUUUAUUUAUUACGAAUGUUCCCUCUUCAUAUUUUUUACAAGUAAGUUCUUUCUAAAAAUAAUUGACUUGGCUCUAAAUUGUCUUUAGCUUGAGUACAGUUAUAUCCCUUUAAUAUGAGUGUUUUAUGAUUGCGCUGAAAAAAUUGUUCUUUACUUUACUGUUUUGACUUGCUCGCUAAUAUGAAUUUUUCUUCUUAAAAUAAUUGGUUAAUAUUUCUCUGUUGGGUUUCAUGUGUUUAUCUUGAGAGUUUUGAUUUCUUUCUCUUUGAAAUCAAAAAAUGUAAUUUUCAGUGCUCAAAGUGUAGAAAGGCACUGACCAUUUGGAGAAUUAAGGUGUUGUAUUUUAAAUGCUCAAUUUCCUCAAUUGAUUAAGUUGUUGCAAGAUAGAUUGCUAAUCUUUCUUUUCUUUUUCUUUGUUUUUCUUAUGUGAUACCAAUCCGAGUAACAUGGACUCCACUCUUGCAUAUCAUUGAGUCUUAUCAAGUCAAGCUUUAGUAUUCGGGGGAGAAAGAGAGGCUAAUGCAAGACUCCAAAGGCUCAGAAAGGGAUCUAUAUACCGUUUUAUACAUUGAUAUAUAGUCAGAAAAUAUGAUAUGCAAGUCCAAGAAAUAUACAGGGGAUCGAGGAGCUAAAUUAGGAUGUAUAAAAAGAGUAUACAAUCCAAUAUAAAGGGAAAAAACUAAAAUACACCCCAUAUAAGGAAGUAUAAGAUCAUUGUAUAUGCUAGAUUUUUGAAGGAAAACAGGCCCAAAGGCCUAAAAAUUUACAGCAGCAAAAUUUAGGCAAAAAGCCCAAAUUUAAUAUUUCCUUUCCUUCUUAUUUAUUUAUCAUUAUAUUUAACUAAAAAUAUAAAUGACCUUGGUUUUAUUUAAAGAUGAUAGUCAUUUCUCUUAUUUUUCUAUAUAUUCAAAAUUCAUGUACAUAUACGUAUGCAUAUUAAUUUUACUUGGUCUUUAUUUUACUUUCUAGUCUUUGUCAACACUUAAGUUUAUCCCUUUAUAUAGUUACUUUACCUUUAAAAAUAAUUAAUUAAAAAUUAAUAUAUAGUGAGUAAAUAAAUAAAAAUUUGAAUUUACAUAACUUCAAAUUUUUUUGAAAAAUAUUAGAUAAGUCUUUUAGUCAAAAUGCCGGUCAAUCAUGAGUUAGCGGGCAUACUAAGGGCCUAACACCUUCUCAGAAUGUACAUUUGAACUUCGAACCAUUUUUAAUUGAUUUUAUUUAUAUAAAUCUUUCGAAAAUAAUUAUAAGUCUUUCUUCAUUUAUUUACUAAAAAUCAAGUGGCGACUUUGUUAAUUUGGAAAAUUGAUUUAUCUCAAAUCAUAAGUUUAAUUGAUUUUUUGUAACUUAGUCAUUCUUUUUUAUUAUAUUUUUUCGUAAAACAGAAAAUGCGACUCAGCUGGAGAUUUAGUUAAGUUCUAACCAUGCGAUUUGAUUAUUUGACUAAUUGUUAUUAAUUGUUAAAAAUGAUAUCUGUAUUGAAUAUGUUCAAAUUAUAUAACUAUCAUUGAAUUUCAUGGCAUUUUAUGAUAUAUAUGUAUAAUAUAUUAAAGGACGGUUUGCGGAACUGCAACAAAUUUUUUUUAUACUCAACCAUUUUUCUGAACGAUCAACAAUUUAUUGGUUCGUCAUCCUUCCUAUUGUUGUCGUAAAUUCCAACCUAAGUUUUCCAUUUUGAAUCCAAGUAUUUAAAAGCCACUCUUAGUUUACUAGCAUAGAGACGAGAAAAUUUAGGAGCAUUUGAACUAAGAUGACCCAAUACCCAUGGCGUGUUUGUCCAUUAGAAGCCCACCUUGUGUCUAGUUUGUCCAUUUGCCAACAAAUAGACAAUCAUGUGUACAUGUUUAUUGAAUGUUGUAUAUGUGUUUUUAUUAAAUUUAUUGUCUAUGUUGGUGGGGUUUAACUAAUAUUUGUUUUCUCUUAUUGUAGUAAUAAUCCAACACGCGAGCCUCUUAGAACAAGAAUGUUGAUUGUCCCC